rnacentral:rRNA from 1 species
GGCUACAACCAUACCAGCAUUAAUGCAACGUAUCCUAUAAGACCUCCGCAGUUAAGCGUGCUUGGGUCAGAGUAGUACAAAGAUGAGUGACUUAUUAGGAAGUCCUCGUGUUGCACCCC